UGGGGAAUAUUGCACAAUGGGCGCAAGCCUGAUGCAGCCAUGCCGCGUGUAUGAAGAAGGCCUUCGGGUUGUAAAGUACUUUCAGCGGGGAGGAAGGGAGUAAAGUUAAUACCUUUGCUCAUUGACGUUACCCGCAGAAGAAGCACCGGCUAACUCCGUGCCAGCAGCCGCGGUAAUACGGAGGGUGCAAGCGUUAAUCGGAAUUACUGGGCGUAAAGCGCACGCAGGCGGUUUGUUAAGUCAGAUGUGAAAUCCCCGGGCUCAACCUGGGAACUGCAUCUGAUACUGGCAAGCUUGAGUCUCGUAGAGGGGGGUAGAAUUCCAGGUGUAGCGGUGAAAUGCGUAGAGAUCUGGAGGAAUACCGGUGGCGAAGGCGGCCCCCUGGACGAAGACUGACGCUCAGGUGCGAAAGCGUGGGGAGCGAACAGG
rnacentral:rRNA from 2 species